AUUUUUGCGUUAUAAUUCUAGGACUAUACUCCUAUUCGGUUCAUGCGUUCUUUCUUUUUGCAGAGAAGAACCAGCCAAUAUGGUUGUGUUUGAAAAUUUGUCCACUUUAUUGCCCUCAACGGAGACACGAUGAAGAUGCAUCAUUAAUAUAUUGGGACGAUUUUGAACCUAUUCACGAAGA